AUCUUAGUGAGCUAAACAUGUCCUCAAAGUCAUUCAUAUGAAUUCAGAAGUUAUAAGAAGCUACCAUUAUUAUAAUCAAAGUACUGAAGUACUGAAGCCGGGCUCUUUUGGUGGAAACAUUUGAUUCAUUGAUUGAUGUCCGACCUUCUCCAGGAACUUGCGACUAGCGAGGUGGAACGUCUCGUUGGGCCGGUAGAACCAGUUGCCAUGGAGAUGUUCCUGGGCAUUGUUAUCUGUGUACAGCUUCUCCACACACAUUAUGGAGUUCUGCAAAGGAAUCACUGUAGCAACGGCCCUCUUCAUCCUGAAAAUAAAGAACAUGGAAGGGCUCUGACGUCCGGCACAUCAUUGGUUCCAUCAUCCGCCAGCUCCAUCUUCUUCUCCAGGACCAGACGUUGUAAGGUCAAGGCAUCCUACAAUAAUACAACAGAAAUCAAAGCUUCCUACACAUAGAUAACCAGUGAUAUUGGGUCAAGGCUUCAAACAGACAAUACUAGGUCAAAGCAUCCUACAGAAAAAAAAAACAAGCAACUCUAGGACAUGUUUAUAAACAUAACUAUUAGAAAAGUUAUUUCUCUGAUUAAAUCAAUUGCAGGUACAUCCUUCCUAUUUAGGUAUCUACAAACCAACUACAUUGUUUUCCAGAUAAUUAUAAGAACAUGUCUAAUUAAUCAAUUUAUAUUUUUAAUUAUCUAGACUUUGAAUCCUUUAUCCAAGAAUGAUGAAUUUCAUAGUUUAAGAAAAACCAAAAAUCUGUAACAAUCAAAAUGUGAAUCACUUUGUUAAGAUGUGAAUCUGGUUUACUGCAUUUACAGACCUUUUCAAACAUCUGUACAAUGAACCUUAAAAUGAGCGAGUCUGGCUCAUUGUAUUUUAAAUGUACCUUGUAAAUGAACAAGUCAGACUCAUUGUCUUUUAAAUGUACCUUGUAAAUGAGCGAGUCAGACUCAUUGUAUUUAAUAUGUACCUUGUAAAUGAGCAAAUAAGGCUCAUUGUAUUUAACACGUACCUCGUAAAGGAG
rnacentral:sRNA from 1 species